rnacentral:rRNA from 1 species
GACGAACGCUGGCGGCGUGCUUAACACAUUCAAGUCGAACGAUGAAGAAGAGCUUGCUCUUCGGAUUAGUGGCGAACGGGUGAGUAACACGUGACUAACCUGCCCCUUUCUCUGGGAUCACUCUCCGAAAGGAGUGCUAUUACCGGAUAUUCACACCGACGUACAUGCCUUGAUGUGGAAAGUUUUUCGGAAAGGGAUGGAGUCGCGGCCUAUCAGCUUGUUAGUGAGGUAACGGCUCACCAAGGCGACGACUGGUAGCCGGCCUGAGAGGGCGACCGGCCACACUGGGACUGAGGCACGGCUCAGACUCCUACGGGAGGCAGCAGUGGGGAAUAUUGCAAAAUGGGCGAAACCCUGAUCCAGCCAUGCCGCGUGAGUGAUGAAGGCCUUAGGGUUGUAAAACUCUUUUAGUGGGGAAAAUAAUGAUGGUACCCACAGAAAAAGCUCCGGCUAACUUCGUGCCAGCCGCCGCGGUAA